GUCUUAUAUUCAAAAAUGAUUUUAAAUUGCAAAUUUAAAGGAGGUUAUUAACCUAAGGCUUA
rnacentral:tRNA from 1 species